AGCAUAGCAACAGCAGGGUAGCUGAACAUCUUACGGAUGGCCCAGGGCUCCAAAGGCUUGUUUCCUAAGUGAGAGAGAGCCCGGCUGAAGCUCUAUUACCAUUCAUUCUCUAGCCUCCGAAGUCUCAAAGCAUCACUUCCACCAUACUCUAAUUGUCAAGACAAACACAAAGUCCUAGGAUUCUUGAAAUGGACUGUAAAAGUCUGGAGUCAAGACUUUGUGUUUCCUCUCUAACAUGUAAAGAGCUUAGAAGUUGUUGCUACUGCCCUUACAACAAAUUGAAGCUGGACAAACUGAAAAUCAAUGACUUUUCUUGGACUCACUAUAGAGCUGAGUUUGCAGAGUAAACCACUACCCUGAAAUCUGGAGAGGCAGGUGCACCCAUAGAGUCUCAGCUGAGAUCCAAUUACCUGAAAUAGAAGCUGCCAUUAGGAACACUUAAAUGAGCCAGUUCUGCUGCGACACAGAAUCACUUGCUCCAUCUAAUACAUUGAUGAUGAUUAAUUUGUAUGUGUACCUUCCAAAAAAGAUGGUCGUGUUUGAACGGAGGCCUUCUGGACA
rnacentral:lncRNA from 1 species